GGCAAUUUAGCGGCAUGCCUUAUAAUGCAGUCGAGCGAAUGGAUUAAAAGCUUGCUCUUAUGAAGUUAGCGGCGGACGGGUGAGUAACACGUGGGUAACCUGCCCAUAAGACUGGGAUAACUCCGGGAAACCGGGGCUAAUACCGGAUAACAUUUUGAACCGCAAGGUUCGAAAUUGAAAGGCGGCUUCUGCUGUCACUUAUGGAUGGACCCGCGUCGCAUUAUCUAGUUGGUGAGGUAACGGCUCACCAAGGCGACGAUGCGUAGCCGACCUGAGAGGGUGAUCAGCCACACUGGGACUGAGACACGGCCCAGACUCCUACGGGAGGCAGCAGUAGGGAAUCUUCCGCAAUGGACGAAAGUCUGACGGAGCAACGCCGCGUGAGUGAUGAAGGCUUUCGGGUCAUAAAACUCUGUUGUUAGGGAAGAACAAGUGCUAGUUGAAUAAGCUGGCACCUUGACGGUACCUAACCAGAAAGCCACGGCUAACUACGUGCCAGCAGCCGCGGUAAUACGUAGGUGGCAAGCGUUAUCCGGAAUUAUUGGGCGUAAAGCGCGCGCAGGUGGUUUCUUAAGUCUGAUGUGAAAGCCCACGGCUCAACCGUGGAGGGUCAUUGGAAACUGGGAGACUUGAGUGCAGAAGAGGAAAGUGGAAUUCCAUGUGUAGCGGUGAAAUGCGUAGAGAUAUGGAGGAACACCAUUGGCGAAGGCGACUUUCUGGUCUGUAACUGACACUGAGGCGCGAAAGCGUGGGGAGCAAACAGGAUUAGAUACCCUGGUAGUCCACGCCGUAAACGAUGAGUGCUAAGUGUUAGAGGGUUUCCGCCCUUUAGUGCUGAAGUUAACGCAUUAAGCACUCCGCCUGGGGAGUACGGCCGCAAGGCUGAAACUCAAAGGAAUUGACAGGGGCCCGCACAAGCGGUGGAGCAUGUGGUUUAAUUCAAGCCACGCGAACAAACAUAACCCGGUCUUGACAUCCUCUGACCACCCCACGAGAUUUGGCUUCUCCUUCCACAGCAGAGUGACAAGUUGAUACAUAGUUUUUCGUCUCUCCAUCCACAUGAGAUGUUUGGAUAAAAGCCGCUAAACUCACCACAACCCUUGG
rnacentral:rRNA from 1 species